UACGUAGGUGGCGAGCGUUAUCCGGAAUUAUUGGGCGUAAAGAGCGCGCAGGUGGUUGAUUAAGUCUGAUGUGAAAGCCCACGGCUUAACCGUGGAGGGUCAUUGGAAACUGGUCGACUUGAGUGCAGAAGAGGGAAGUGGAAUUCCAUGUGUAGCGGUGAAAUGCGUAGAGAUAUGGAGGAACACCAGUGGCGAAGGCGGCUUUCUGGACGAUAACUGACGCUGAGGCGCGAAAGCGUGGGUAGCAAACAGGAUUAGAUA
rnacentral:rRNA from 1 species